CAGUAGCCACGGUAAUACGUAGGUGGCAAGCGUUAAUCGGAAUUACUGGGCGUAAAGCGUGCGCAGGCGGUUGUGUAAGACAGGUGUGAAAUCCCCGGGCUUAACCUGGGAACUGCGCUUGUGACUGCACAGCUAGAGUAUGGCAGAGGGGGGUGGAAUUCCACGUGUAGCAGUGAAAUGCGUAGAGAUGUGGAGGAACACCGAUGGCGAAGGCAGCCCCCUGGGCCAACACUGACGCUCAUGCACGAAAGCGUGAGGAGCAAACAGGAUUAGAUACCCCCGUAGUCCCUGUCUCUUAUAC
rnacentral:rRNA from 1 species